GACAGAGGUGCCAAGCGUUAGGCGGAAUCACUGGGCUUAAAGCGUGUGUAGGCGGAUCGUUAAGUACCUUGUGAAAUCCCCACGGCUCAACCGUGGAACUGCUGGGUAUACUGGCGGUCUUGAGCCACCUAGGGGCAACUGGAACAAGCGGUGGAGCGGUGAAAUGCGUAGAUAUCGUCUGGAACGCCAAAGGUGAAAACAGUCUGCUGGGGGUGUGCCGACGCUGGAGACACGAAAGCCAGGGGAGCGAACGGG
rnacentral:rRNA from 1 species